GGAGUUCGCCAGACAGUCGCUGCUGCGUUCGCGCAGGGGAGGAAAGUCCGGGCUCCACAGGGCAGAGUGCCAGAUAACGUCUGGGCGGCGCGAGCCGACGGCCAGUGCAACAGAGAGUAGACCGCCUAAGCAUCUUCGGAUGCCGGUAAGGGUGAAAGGGUGCG
rnacentral:RNase_P_RNA from 1 species